rnacentral:rRNA from 1 species
AGUCGAGCGGCAGCACGGGUACUUGUACCUGGUGGCGAGCGGCGGACGGGUGAGUAAUGCCUAGGAAUCUGCCUGGUAGUGGGGGAUAACGCUCGGAAACGGACGCUAAUACCGCAUACGUCCUACGGGAGAAAGCAGGGGACCUUCGGGCCUUGCGCUAUCAGAUGAGCCUAGGUCGGAUUAGCUAGUUGGUGAGGUAAUGGCUCACCAAGGCGACGAUCCGUAACUGGUCUGAGAGGAUGAUCAGUCACACUGGAACUGAGACACGGUCCAGACUCCUACGGGAGGCAGCAGUGGGGAAUAUUGGACAAUGGGCGAAAGCCUGAUCCAGCCAUGCCGCGUGUGUGAAGAAGGUCUUCGGAUUGUAAAGCACUUUAAGUUGGGAGGAAGGGCAUUUACCUAAUACGUAAGUGUUUUGACGUUACCGACAGAAUAAGCACCGGCUAACUCUGUGCCAGCAGCCGCGGUAAU